CGGAUGAAGGGUGCCCGGGACCCGGUCUUCUCCCUCACGGGAACACUUUUUUCUAAGGUGACCUCUGAGCAGUAGAGGAACCUUCUUUC
rnacentral:rRNA from 1 species